rnacentral:rRNA from 1 species
UUAAGCGACUAAGCGUACACGGUGGAUGCCCUGGCAGUCAGAGGCGAUGAAGGACGUGCUAAUCUGCGAUAAGCGUCGGUAAGGUGAUAUGAACCGUUAUAACCGGCGAUUUCCGAAUGGGGAAACCCAGUGUGAUUCGUCACACUAUCAUUAACUGAAUCCAUAGGUUAAUGAGGCGAACCGGGGGAACUGAAACAUCUAAGUACCCCGAGGAAAAGAAAUCAACCGAGAUUCCCCCAGUAGCGGCGAGCGAACGGGGAGAGCCCAGAGCCUGAAUCAGUAUGUGUGUUAGUGGAAGCGUCUGGAAAGGCGUGCGAUACAGGGUGACAGCCCCGUACACAAAAAUGCACAUGCUGUGAGCUCGAUGAGUAGGGCGGGACACGUGGUAUCCUGUCUGAAUAUGGGGGGACCAUCCUCCAAGGCUAAAUACUCCUGACUGACCGAUAGUGAACCAGUACCGUGAGGGAAAGGCGAAAAGAACCCCGGCGAGGGGAGUGAAAAAGAACCUGAAACCGUGUACGUACAAGCAGUGGGAGCCUCUUUAAUGGGGUGACUGCGUACCUUUUGUAUAAUGGGUCAGCGACUUAUAUUCUGUAGCAAGGUUAACCGAAUAGGGGAGCCGAAGGGAAACCGAGUCUUAACUGGGCGUUAAGUUGCAGGGUAUAGACCCGAAACCCGGUGAUCUAGCCAUGGGCAGGUUGAAGGUUGGGUAACACUAACUGGAGGACCGAACCGACUAAUGUUGAAAAAUUAGCGGAUGACUUGUGGCUGGGGGUGAAAGGCCAAUCAAACCGGGAGAUAGCUGGUUCUCCCCGAAAGCUAUUUAGGUAGCGCCUCGUGAAUUCAUCUCCGGGGGUAGAGCACUGUUUCGGCAAGGGGGUCAUCCCGACUUACCAACCCGAUGCAAACUGCGAAUACCGGAGAAUGUUAUCACGGGAGACACACGGCGGGUGCUAACGUCCGUCGUGAAGAGGGAAACAACCCAGACCGCCAGCUAAGGUCCCAAAGUCAUGGUUAAGUGGGAAACGAUGUGGGAAGGCCCAGACAGCCAGGAUGUUGGCUUAGAAGCAGCCAUCAUUUAAAGAAAGCGUAAUAGCUCACUGGUCGAGUCGGCCUGCGCGGAAGAUGUAACGGGGCUAAACCAUGCACCGAAGCUGCGGCAGCGACACUAUGUGUUGUUGGGUAGGGGAGCGUUCUGUAAGCCGUUGAAGGUGGCCUGUGAGGGUUGCUGGAGGUAUCAGAAGUGCGAAUGCUGACAUAAGUAACGAUAAAGCGGGUGAAAAGCCCGCUCGCCGGAAGACCAAGGGUUCCUGUCCAACGUUAAUCGGGGCAGGGUGAGUCGACCCCUAAGGCGAGGCCGAAAGGCGUAGUCGAUGGGAAACAGGUUAAUAUUCCUGUACUUGGUGUUACUGCGAAGGGGGGACGGAGAAGGCUAUGUUGGCCGGGCGACGGUUGUCCCGGUUUAAGCGUGUAGGCUGAUUUUCCAGGCAAAUCCGGAGAAUCAAGGCUGAGGCGUGAUGACGAGGCACUACGGUGCUGAAGCAACAAAUGCCCUGCUUCCAGGAAAAGCCUCUAAGCAUCAGGUAACAUCAAAUCGUACCCCAAACCGACACAGGUGGUCAGGUAGAGAAUACCAAGGCGCUUGAGAGAACUCGGGUGAAGGAACUAGGCAAAAUGGUGCCGUAACUUCGGGAGAAGGCACGCUGAUGGUAGGUGAAGCGACCUGCUCGUGGAGCUGAAAUCAGUCGAAGAUACCAGCUGGCUGCAACUGUUUAUUAAAAACACAGCACUGUGCAAACACGAAAGUGGACGUAUACGGUGUGACGCCUGCCCGGUGCCGGAAGGUUAAUUGAUGGGGUCAGCCGCAAGGCGAAGCUCUUGAUCGAAGCCCCGGUAAACGGCGGCCGUAACUAUAACGGUCCUAAGGUAGCGAAAUUCCUUGUCGGGUAAGUUCCGACCUGCACGAAUGGCGUAAUGAUGGCCAGGCUGUCUCCACCCGAGACUCAGUGAAAUUGAACUCGCUGUGAAGAUGCAGUGUACCCGCGGCAAGACGGAAAGACCCCGUGAACCUUUACUAUAGCUUGACACUGAACAUUGAGCCUUGAUGUGUAGGAUAGGUGGGAGGCUUUGAAGUGUGGACGCCAGUCUGCAUGGAGCCGACCUUGAAAUACCACCCUUUAAUGUUUGAUGUUCUAACGUGGACCCGUGAUCCGGGUUGCGGACAGUGUCUGGUGGGUAGUUUGACUGGGGCGGUCUCCUCCUAAAGAGUAACGGAGGAGCACGAAGGUUGGCUAAUCCUGGUCGGACAUCAGGAGGUUAGUGCAAUGGCAUAAGCCAGCUUGACUGCGAGCGUGACGGCGCGAGCAGGUGCGAAAGCAGGUCAUAGUGAUCCGGUGGUUCUGAAUGGAAGGGCCAUCGCUCAACGGAUAAAAGGUACUCCGGGGAUAACAGGCUGAUACCGCCCAAGAGUUCAUAUCGACGGCGGUGUUUGGCACCUCGAUGUCGGCUCAUCACAUCCUGGGGCUGAAGUAGGUCCCAAGGGUAUGGCUGUUCGCCAUUUAAAGUGGUACGCGAGCUGGGUUUAGAACGUCGUGAGACAGUUCGGUCCCUAUCUGCCGUGGGCGCUGGAGAACUGAGGGGGGCUGCUCCUAGUACGAGAGGACCGGAGUGGACGCAUCACUGGUGUUCGGGUUGUCAUGCCAAUGGCACUGCCCGGUAGCUAAAUGCGGAAGAGAUAAGUGCUGAAAGCAUCUAAGCACGAAACUUGCCCCGAGAUGAGUUCUCCCUGAGACUUUAAGUCUCCUGAAGGAACGUUGAAGACGACGACGUUGAUAGGCCGGGUGUGUAAGCGCAGCGAUGCGUUGAGCUAACCGGUACUAAUGAACCGUGAGGCUUAACCUU